AUACGUAGGGGGCAAGCGUUAACCGGAUUUACUGGGCGUAAAGGGAGCGUAGGUGGUUUGGUAAGUCAGGAGUGAAAGCCCGGGGCUCAACUCCGGUAUUGCACUUGAAACUAUUAGACUAGAGUGCAGGAGAGGUAGGUGGAAUUCCUGGUGUAGCGGUGAAAUGCCUAGAUAUCGGGAGGAACACCAGUGGCGAAGGCGACUUCCUGGCACAAUACUGACGCUCAUGUGCGAAAGCUAGGGUAGCGAACGGGAUUAGAUACCCCGGUAGUCCUAGCCGUAAACGAUGGAUACUAGGUGUGGGUGUCGCAGGGCAUCCGUGCCGCAGCUAACGCGUUAAGUAUCCCGCCUGGGGACUACGGUCGCAAGACUGAAACUCAAAUGAAUUGACGGGG
rnacentral:rRNA from 1 species